rnacentral:rRNA from 1 species
UACGAAGGGGGCUAGCGUUGCUCGGAAUCACUGGGCGUAAAGCGCACGUAGGCGGAUUCUUAAGUCGGUGGUGAAAUCCUGGAGCUCAACUCCAGAACUGCCUUCGAUACUGAGAGUCUCGAGUCCGGGAGAGGUGAGUGGAACUGCGAGUGUAGAGGUGGAAUUCGUAGAUAUUCGCAAGAACACCAGUGGCGAAGGCGGCUCACUGGCCCGGUACUGACGCUGAGGUGCGAAAGCGUGGGGAGCAAACAGG